ACUAGGCGCACAUUGCGGCUCUAACCAUCGAUUCACAAUAGUCCAAACCUUCCGCUUAACUAUAUAGUUCCUCGAACACACUCGAAUUUCUAGCACGUAGACCAAUUUGUUCAAGUUCGAACCGUAUAUUUUCCGAUACGUAAACGUGAAAUCGUUAAGUAACUCGUAAAUGUCGACGAAUAACGAAUUUUUAACUUCACCAGACUCGGUCGUUUCGGUGAUGUCGACCCCUCCGUGGUGAUUAUACACUCGCCGGAUUGUUAAGAAGACGUACGGGUGGACCGUUCCCUUUUAAUAACAAAAAAUACGUCCUGAACGAUUUAAAGAAAAGGUAAAAGUCGAAUCAAGCUGGCAAGUUCAUUUCGGGUCACGUGACCAACUCCGCCCAUUCACGAGGAGAGAAGUCAAUCCGCGCGCUUCGGGUAGAGAAGUUUUGCGAUCGUAAGACGGGUACCAAGUCGGUGAGUGGGACAAGCACGUUCUAACUGGAACAGUGCGGACUGAAAGUAAAUUAAAAGUACUACAUAUAUGAAAGGUGAAGGAUAAGGGUAGAGAAAAGCACGCGGCCAAUAUGCCGGAGUGCACGGAGGGUCACCCGCAAAAUCGACUAUUUAUUUCUAUAUGGUUUUUAACAAUAUACGUGUUCCUACUCAUACCAGCGACUGUAAACGCG